AUUAAACGCUGGCGGAAUGCUUUACACAUGCAAGUCGAACGGCAGCACGGGGGCAACCCUGGUGGCGAGUGGCGAACGGGUGAGUAAUACAUCGGAACGUGCCCAGUCGUGGGGGAUAACGUAGCGAAAGUUACGCUAAUACCGCAUACGAUCUAUGGAUGAAAGCGGGGGACCGUAAGGCCUCGCGCGAUUGGAGCGGCCGAUGUCAGAUUAGGUAGUUGGUGGGGUAAAGGCCCACCAAGCCGACGAUCUGUAGCUGGUCUGAGAGGACGACCAGCCACACUGGGACUGGGACACGGCCCAGACUCCUACGGGAGGCAGCAGUGGGGAAUUUUGGACAAUGGGCGCAAGCCUGAUCCAGCCAUUCCGCGUGCAGGACAAAGGCCUUCGGGUUGUAAACUGCUUUUGUACGGAACGAAAAGGUCCUGGUUAAUACCCGGGGCUCAUGACGGUACCGUAAGAAUAAGCACCGGCUAACUACGUGCCAGCAGCCGCAGUAA
rnacentral:rRNA from 1 species